rnacentral:misc_RNA from 1 species
GAAGUGCGAUAAGCAAUGCGAAUUGCAGAACCGUGAGUCAUCAGAUUUUUGAACGCAACUGGCGCUGGUUGGCUAUCCAACCAGCAUGCUUGUUUCAGUGUCUCUUUAACCCUUCACCCAAAUCUUAAUGCGAGAGAUACCCUUCUCUUGUUAAGCAUGAAAGCACUCUGCGCUCUGCGAGCGACUUCGACUUGUUCUUAGUCGCACUCAAUGCAGCAGUCACAUUGUUCACAAUGUGAACUCAUUGAGAGCAAAGGCAGUGCGGCCUUACAGCUGCCAGUGCUUAGACACUCAAACUUUUCUUGUAUCUGAAAUCAAGCAGGAUCACCCGCUGAACUUAA